GCUCUGCAGGCAGGGGAGGGCACAAGAACUUGGUUCCUUAUUCUCUGCCCACCAGUGGUACAGUGGACAUGUUCUGGGACCUCUUUUCAGGGCUCAGAUGAGAAGUCUUUGGGGCCUUCAGGUGGGGCACAUUACCUCCUUGGACCGCAUGUCUGCUGUCUUUGACGGGGUUUGGGGCAGAGUGGAUGACACAGGAGUCUGCAGAAGGCUAGACUCUUGUGGCAUAGAUCAAACUUUGGGCUGACUCUGAGGUGGGACAAAAAGUAUGGAUCCAUGGAAAGGAGCAGGAUGUAGACUUUAAGAAUGCCAGUGCCACCAUUUUCCAGUUUUGUGACUUUGAGUAGGUUAUUUCACUUCCCUGGGCCUCAGUUUGCUAAUCUGUAUAGUGGUUACAAUAUACAGCCAGUAAAGAAAAUAGAGUGAUGGAAAUAAUGACUGGGUGGGUGGAUGGGUGGGGGGCUAAGUAAAACAGUAUAACCCUGGAAGGCCUCUUGGAGGACAUAUAUGACCUGAAAUUCAAGGAAAGCAGUCAUUUGGACAUUGGGGAGAAAAGAAAAAUUCUCAGGCCCUGAGAACAAGCUCCUGUUGUUUGGAGAGCAUACAGAAGGGCCAGUGUGGCUGGAGCACAGGGAGCCUAGGGUGUGGUGACCAGGGACAUCAGAGAAUUCCCUUCAACAUUCACGGAGGAACCUGGAUUUUACUGGAAGUGUUGUGGCAGCCCAUUAGAAUUCUCACAGCAAGGGACAGGAGGCUGCAUCCCAGGCCUGGGAGGGGUGUUGGUGCCAGGAGCACGGAACAUGCUAACGGGUUGAGGAAGCUGGGAACGGCUUUAACACUCCUUGAAAGAGUAGAAACAGUUCGGUACCUAGAGGAGGCGUUUAGGGAAUCCCCAACAACAGUGACCCAUAGAAGUGAAACCGCAGGCGUCAGGCACACCCAGCCUGCUGGCAGCGGCGCCCACAGCUUGCUCGUAGAAGGAACACGUGGGAUGAAGUGCUUGGCCCGAAGAAGGGACCGCUGUAGGCUCCGCCCACUCUCACUUCCGCCUCGGCCCUACGCGCCCACAAACCGUUGGUCGCGCAUGCGUAGUGAGCCUGUGUAGGAACAGUGGUGAGCGUUUCUCCGAACCAUAAAUUCCCCAAAUAACCAGUCCAAGGCGCGCAUUUCUUGGACAGGUAAAGAAGGA